rnacentral:rRNA from 1 species
GGACGAACGCUGGCGGCGUGCCUAAUACAUGCAAGUCGAGCGGACCGGAUGGGAGCUUGCUCCCUUAGGUCAGCGGCGGACGGGUGAGUAACACGUGGGUAACCUGCCUGUAAGACUGGGGAUAACUCCGGGAAACCGGGGGCUAAUACCGGAUGCUUGAUUGAACCGCAUGGUUCAAUCAUAAAAGGUGGCUUUUAGCUACCACUUACAGAUGGACCCGCGGCGCAUUAGCUAGUUGGUGAGGUAACGGCUCACCAAGGCGACGAUGCGUAGCCGACCUGAGAGGGUGAUCGGCCACACUGGGACUGAGACACGGCCCAGACUCCUACGGGAGGCAGCAGUAGGGAAUCUUCCGCAAUGGACGAAAGUCUGACGGAGCAACGCCGCGUGAGUGAUGAAGGUUUUCGGAUCGUAAAACUCUGUUGUUAGGGAAGAACAAGUACCGUUCGAAUAGGGCGGUACCUUGACGGUACCUAACCAGAAAGCCACGGCUAACUACGUGCCAGCAGCCGC